UACGGGGGGGGCAAGCGUUGUUCGGAAUUACUGGGCGUAAAGGGCUCGUAGGCGGCCAACUAAGUCGGAUGUGAAAUCCCCAGGCUUAACCUGGGAACUGCAUCCGAUACUGGAUGGCUUGAAUCCAGGAGAGGGAUGCGGAAUUCCAGGUGUAGCGGUGAAAUGCGUAGAUAUCUGGAGGAACACCGGUGGCGAAGGCGGCAUCCUGGACCGGCAUUGACGCUGAGGAGCGAAAGCCAGGGGAGCAAACGGG
rnacentral:rRNA from 1 species